GAACAUGGGGCCGGAAGAACACAGGGAAGACAAGGACCAGGCUCUCAGAAGGAGCUGGUGUGGGGGGAGCCAUGAGAACUGGAGGAGCAGACAGUUAUGGAGUCCCUACAAUGUGCUAGUGGAACUUUGAAGAUGAAUCUAAUUUGGAUCCUGAAAAGCCUCAAAGCCUAAUAUAGGAGCAUCAAGCAUCUAUUUCCAAGAGAAAAAGAGGCUCACGGUGUGACAUAACACUGUCUGGAAAGGUGAGUGGCCAGCCAGGCCUGGAUUUGAACCUGUG